rnacentral:rRNA from 1 species
GCGGCGUGCUUAACACAUGCAAGUCGAACGGAAAGGCCCUGCUUUUGUGGGGUGCUCGAGUGGCGAACGGGUGAGUAACACGUGAGUAACCUGCCCUUGACUUUGGGAUAACUUCAGGAAACUGGGGCUAAUACCGGAUAGGAGCUCCUGCUGCAUGGUGGGGGUUGGAAAGUUUCGGCGGUUGGGGAUGGACUCGCGGCUUAUCAGCUUGUUGGUGGGGUAGUGGCUUACCAAGGCUUUGACGGGUAGCCGGCCUGAGAGGGUGACCGGCCACAUUGGGACUGAGAUACGGCCCAGACUCCUACGGGAGGCAGCAGUGGGGAGUAUUGCACAAUGGGCGGAAGCCUGAUGCAGCAACGCCGCGUGCGGGAUGACGGCCUUCGGGUUGUAAACCGCUUUCGCCUGUGACGAAGCGUGAGUGACGGUAAUGGGUAAAGAAGCACCGGCUAACUACGUGCCAGCAGCCGCGGUGAUACGUAGGGUGCGAGCGUUGUCCGGAUUUAUUGGGCGUAAAGGGCUCGUAGGUGGUUGAUCGCGUCGGAAGUGUAAUCUUGGGGCUUAACCCUGAGCGUGCUUUCGAUACGGGUUGACUUGAGGAAGGUAGGGGAGAAUGGAAUUCCUGGUGGAGCGGUGGAAUGCGCAGAUAUCAGGAGGAACACCAGUGGCGAAGGCGGUCCUCUGGGCCUUUCCUGACGCUGAGGAGCGAAAGCGUGGGGAGCGAACAGGCUUAGAUACCCUGGUAGUCCACGCUGUAAACGGUGGGUACUAGGUGUGGGGUCCAUUCCACGGGUUCCGUGCCGUAGCUAACGCUUUAAGUACCCCGCCUGGGGAGUACGGCCGCAAGGCUAAAACUCAAAGGAAUUGACGGGGCCCCGCACAAGCGGCGGAGCAUGCGGAUUAAUUCGAUGCAACGCGUAGAACCUUACCUGGGUUUGACAUGGAUCGGGAGUGCUCAGAGAUGGGUGUGCCUCUUUUGGGGUCGGUUCACAGGUGGUGCAUGGCUGUCGUCAGCUCGUGUCGUGAGAUGUUGGGUUAAGUCCCGCAACGAGCGCAACCCUUGUUCACUGUUGCCAGCACGUUAUGGUGGGGACUCAGUGGAGACCGCCGGGGUCAACUCGGAGGAAGGUGGGGAUGACGUCAAGUCAUCAUGCCCCUUAUGUCCAGGGCUUCACGCAUGCUACAAUGGCUGGUACAGAGAGUGGCGAGCCUGUGAGGGUGAGCGAAUCUCGGAAAGCCGGUCUCAGUUCGGAUUGGGGUCUGCAACUCGACCUCAUGAAGUCGGAGUCGCUAGUAAUCGCAGAUCAGCAACGCUGCGGUGAAUACGUUCCCGGGGCUUGUACACACCGCCCGUCAAGUCAUGAAAGUUGGUAACACCCGAAGCCGGUGGCCUAACCGAUGUGGGGGAGCCGUCGAAGGUGGGACUGGUGACUAGG